UCAGGUUGGAGUGUCUGACCGCAGGCAGAGAAAGUCUGUUCUGAGGAAAGUCCGGACUCAAAGGGCAGGACGCCAGUUAACGGCUGGGAGAAGUGAUUCUCGGUAAGGGCCAUAGAAACGUAAACCGCUCUGAAAAAGAGCAAGGGUGGAAAGGUGGGGUAAGAGCCCACCAGAGUCAGGGUAACCUGACUGCUUGGUAACCUCCGUCUUGAGCAAGAUCAAAACGAAAGGUCAUAGGAUGCCCGCCAAGUUGAGUUUUACUCAUACCUUUCAGGUAGAUCGCUUAGAUAGAUGGUCAGGCUAGACAGAAUCCGGCUUACAGCUUACCUGAUACU
rnacentral:RNase_P_RNA from 1 species